GGACGCUGGCGGCGUGCUUACACAUGCAAGUCGAACGAGAACGGGUUAUAGCUUGCUAUAACUGUCAGCUAAGUGGCGGACGGGUGAGUAAUGUAUAGUUAAUCUGCCCUUCAGAGAGGGAUAACUACUGGAAACGGUAGCUAAUACCUCAUACACCUUAUUUAUUAAUUAAAUAAGGGAAAUGUUUUUUCGCUGAAGGAUGAGACUAUAUGGUAUCAGGUAGUUGGUGGGGUAAGAGCCUACCAAGCCAAUGACGCCUAGCUGGUCUGAGAGGAUGAUCAGCCACACUGGAACUGAGACACGGUCCAGACUCCUACGGGAGGCAGCAGUGGGGAAUAUUUGCACAAUGGAGGAAACUCUGAUGCAGCAACGCCGCGUGGAGGAUGACGCAUUUCGGUGUGUAAACUCCUUUUAUAUAGGAAGAUAAUGACGGUACUAUAUGAAUUAGCACCGGCUAAAUCCCGUGUCCAGCAGCCCGCGGUAAUACGGGAGGGUGCAAGCGUUACUCGGAAUCACUGGGCGUAAGCGCGCGCAGGGGGCUACA
rnacentral:rRNA from 1 species